ensembl:miRNA MIR548O2 microRNA 548o-2
UGGUGCAAAAGUAAUUGCGGUUUUUGCCAUUAAAAGUAAUGCGGCCAAAACUGCAGUUACUUUUGCACCC